GAGUUUGAUCUUGGCUCAGAUUGAACGCUGGCGGCAUGCCUUACACAUGCAAGUCGAACGGCAGCACGGGAGCUUGCUCCUGGUGGCGAGUGGCGAACGGGUGAGUAAUGCAUCGGAACGUAUCCUGGAGUGGGGGAUAACGUAGCGAAAGUUACGCUAAUACCGCAUAUUCUGUGAGCAGGAAAGCGGGGGACCUUCGGGCCUCGCGCUCUUGGAGCGGCCGAUGUCGGAUUAGCUAGUUGGUGAGGUAAAGGCUCACCAAGGCGACGAUCCGUAGCAGGUCUGAGAGGAUGAUCUGCCACACUGGAACUGAGACACGGUCCAGACUCCUACGGGAGGCAGCAGUGGGGAAUUUUGGACAAUGGGGGCAACCCGUGAUCCAGCCAUGCCGCGUGAGUGAAGAAGGCCUU
rnacentral:rRNA from 1 species